UACGUAGGUGGCAAGCGUUGUCCGGAAUUACUGGGUGUAAAGCGCGUGUAGGCGGGCGGCCAAGUCUGCUGUGAAAUCGCCCGGCUCAACUGGGCGGGGUCGGUGGAAACUGGUCACCUGGAGGACGGUAGAGGCGAGUGGAAUUCCCGGUGUAGUGGUGAAAUGCGUAGAGAUCGGGAGGAACACCAGUGGCGAAGGCGGCUCGCUGGGCCGGACCUGACGCUGAGACGCGAAGGCGUGGGGAGCGAACGGG
rnacentral:rRNA from 1 species